UACGGCCGUACCAUGCUGAAUAUACCGGUUCUCGUUAGAUCACCGAAGUCAAGCAUCAUUGGGCGCGGUCAGUACUUGGGUGGGUGACCACCUGGGAACACUGCGUGCCGUU